GAUGAACGCUGGCGGCGUGCCUAAUACAUGCAAGUCGAGCGAACGGACGAGAAGCUUGCUUCUCUGAUGUUAGCGGCGGACGGGUGAGUAACACGUGGAUAACCUACCUAUAAGACUGGGAUAACUUCGGGAAACCGGAGCUAAUACCGGAUAAUAUUUUGAACCGCAUGGUUCAAAAGUGAAAGACGGUCUUGCUGUCACUUAUAGAUGGAUCCGCGCUGCAUUAGCUAGUUGGUAAGGUAACGGCUUACCAAGGCAACGAUGCAUAGCCGACCUGAGAGGGGGGACCGCCCACACGGAAAUUGAGACCCGUCCAAGACCCCAGGGGGGGGCGGAGGUGGGAAUCCUCCCGAAAGGGGCGAAGGCUGACGGAGCAACCGCGGGGGGGGUAAGGAGGUUUUCGGGUCGGAAAACUUUUUUUUUAGGGAAAAACAAAUUGUGAAGGUAACGUGCACCACUGGGAGGGACCUAAACAAAAAACCCCGGCGAAACACGG
rnacentral:rRNA from 1 species